UACAAUGGCGUAAACAAAGGGAGGCGAAGUGGUGACAUGGAGCGAACCCCAAAAAUAAACGUCCCAGUUCGGAUUGUAGUCUGCAACCCGACUACAUGAAGCUGGAAUCGCUAGUAAUCGCGGAUCAGAAUGCCGCGGUGAAUACGUUCCCGGGUCUUGUACACACCGCCCGUCACACCAUGGGAGCCGGUAACGCCCGAAGUCAGUGACCCAACCGAGAGGAGGGAGCUGCCGAAGGCGGGACAGGUAACUGGGGUAAAGUCGUAACAAGGUACC
rnacentral:rRNA from 1 species